GUGUCAGCAGCCGCGGUAAUACGGAGGGUGCGAGCGUUGUCCGGAAUCACUGGGCGUAAAGGGCGCGUAGGUGGUUCGAUAAGUGUGUGGUGAAAGCCCGGGGCUCAACCCCGGGUCUGCCGUGCAAACUGUCGGACUGGAGGACUGCAGAGGCAGGUGGAAUUCCGGGUGUAGCGGUGGAAUGCGUAGAUAUCCGGAAGAAGACCGGUGGCGAAGGCGACCUGCUGGGCAGUUACUGACACUGAGGCGCGACAGCGUGGGGAGCAAACAGGAUUAGAUACCCCCGUAGUCC
rnacentral:rRNA from 1 species